AAAGCAGGUCUGCAAUUGCAGCACUUCAUUCCAGUAGAGUGCUGUCAUUAACCCUGCUGAGAGCAUCUUUCUGCUAUAGAGCUUGUGUUCCUGCUCACUGUUCUGGUGAUGAGGAAACUCUGUAGCUGAACAUU